CAUCCUGUAUGUUAAUAAUCUGUAAUUAUCGUUAAACAACUCAAUAGUUUAAACACUUACGGAUUUGGGUGUAAAGGUUGUCUAAAGUCAUGCAUCUUUGGCUGUUUUGUGUCACGAUCCGUCGAGUUGAUAUUUGAUACUUGGAAUUGGUUGUUUAUUUCUCUUCUCCACUCCUGAGCCUUUUGCGAAUCUAUAGUAUUUAAAUGCUUUAAAAAUGAAUGUAUACUUUUCGUAGCUAGAGAAUGCGGUAUCCGUCCUGUAACACUCAAUUGAGAUAACCUCCUAUUUCUAUGAAUAUCCAAACCUCUUAAGCAAACACGCUUAUAUUUUUCCAGUUUCUUUUCUUGUUCAAUGCUAUAUGUAACGGGACAUAUCUCGAACGGUGAUUCUUCAGACUUGGCU